ACUGAAUCGACCACCACAAACCCACGUGGGUUUGAGGUGGUUUUACAGUGGGUUAAGAACGAUUUGGUUAUUUGGGAUCAUAGCCUCUCAGUAUGGAUUGAAGCUGCUGUCAUUGAGCUCGCCAUAGUGAGAGCAGGCUGGAUUGUCAUCCGGGCGACGAAGAAAACUGACAGUUAGUUUUCCGCUUUUGACGAACGCUUCAAGUUCUUGAAGGAAAAUUUCCAUUUUAUACCACGGACUGUGUUCUAAAAACUAAAAUAUUCACCCAAAUUGAUCUCCACCAAAUAUUGACCAUGCAAAACGUAAACAAUCCAUCAAUACAUAUACAAGCGGAAACCCAUCUGUCAAAAUCGGAGCCCAGGGGGGGGGGGGGGGAUCGCCAAAAGCGCUAUCCCUACUAGCAAAGAGAAUGUAAAAGUGUUCGUCUUUCAGGCGAGGGGCAUGUAGAAGCAGGGGGAGACGGUUGGAAAUACAGUGGAGCGCCGUUUAUCCGGGCUUCUCGGGUUUUGACCUCGCCCGGAUGAGCGAAUAACACGGAAAAUGAGUCAAAUGAUAUAUUUUAUCACCAAUUCCUGGUUAUGUUUUGGAAAUUUUUCUUAUUUUUUUUUUUUUUGAUAAAAAUAACCCAGUUUUUACUAACUUCAUGUUUUUCCAAAGAGAAUAUUUAAAAUUUGCCAUGCAUUAUAGUGUUUUUGUUAUGACAAUGUGCUCUUAUAACCGCUUUUUCAAAUAUCCUCCUCAUAACGCAAUGUUACCACCGACAAACCGACGUGACACUUCGAACAAAAUGAGCUUCAAAAGUUGUCUCCUGAUUUCAAAUGAAAAUACGUUAAACACUAGCGCCAUCUCUAUAAUGAUUCGCUUACUACACUGACACAGAAAAGAAACUGCUAAAUCCCCUUUUUGUUUUUCUUCGCAAAUUCCAAUGCGUAUUGUUUUAUGUACUUCUCACAUUUUUUGCAUUGAUUUGGAAACUUUCUAAAAUGAUUUUCCUGGGUGUUUUGUCCAAUAAUUCUCACAAAAUCGUGCCUCACACUUCCUUCGCAAUUUGUAUUUAGAAAAGUUGUUUACAUCGAAGCAGCAGUGAACAGAGCUUACUUUGACAGAAGUGAUCGCCUCACUGGUAAAUGUCAGUACUUUCGUAUGGGACACUUUUGUAACGCCAGUGUCACGUCGGUUUGUCGGUGAUGUUACUUCCCAAAUGACAAUCCAGCCUGCUCUCACUAUGGCGAGCUCAAUGACAGCUGCUUCAACUCAUACUGAGAGGCUAUCAUCGUUUCCUCCUGCGUACUGAGCAAGCUUGUUUUUUCCCCUCGCUGAGGCGAGAUGAUUUUGUUUGUAUGGUGAGCAAAUCUAUCGCCGAUGAUUGCUCUAAUGAGAUGAUCAAGCAACAGCCGCUCACAUGAUGAAAUCAUGAUGAGGUCGGAUUUUGGAGUGAGUAAAAAUUUCUUCCCCACAUCGAGCCGUGUGAUUGUGUUGUGGUUUUAGGAGAACAUUGGAUCAUCUACGAAUUGUUUACAUUUGUAAAACGUGCAAUAAUUGACCGUGGGCUACAUUUCUCGAUUCUUUUGUUGAAACAGCAUAUCAAAUAUCCCAAAUCAGUUAAAAUAUAGUGAAAUGUUGUAUCGGACACACGAUGCUUUGAAGAAAACGUGAGGGCAAACAUGGGAAGAUGAUGAACAUUUUCCCUUACUAAUAGUUGAUUUACAGCCUCUUGGCAUCAACAAAACAUGAAGCAGCGUUUAACGAUGAAGAAGAUACCCAGUUGUGCGAUGACCAUUAACCGUUAACGUUGGAAAUUAAGAGGAAUAUUACAUGGAUCGAAAAUACCUAGAGAGCCUAGAACCUACCUAACACCCAGAAAUACCGCAUCGAGUCGAAUUUAGAACGUAAAUAAUCGUCCACAAAAGGCCAUCUUUUGGAUUGUGGGUGAUUGUUAGCAGUGGCGGAUUAAGACGAGUGGAGGCCCUAAGCGAUCACACGAAAUUAGAGGCUUGAUUGAAGCGUGUAGCAAAGGAUUGUAUCAAAUGUCCUAACCAGAGAUUGAGUAGCAAUUUUACUUGUGAGCGGGGCGUAGGUGCCAUUUUUGGGGCCCCUGGCCGACACAGAUGUUCGACACUUAAACAACUGAAUACGAUGGAACACAUUAAAACUGAGAGAAAUACACAUCUAAUCAAUUACUUUAAAAAAUAAUAUAA